rnacentral:tRNA from 1 species
GGUUGUGUAGUGUAAUGGUUCAUCACUCCAGAUUCUGAUUCUAGCAAUCCUGGUUUGAUUCCGGGCACGACCU